rnacentral:lncRNA from 1 species
AGAUCUUCAGCUAAAGGUUGAUUCUUCAACUCAAACGGAUUCUGAGCAGGACAAACAGCUCAAGGACCUGAAAGAACCUCUUAACAAGAAUGAAUAUUAUGCUGACUCAGGGAGGAAUGCCCAAAAGGAGAAGGUAAUAACAAUUUUGAGGAACAUGCAACGCAUCCUGGUUGAGUCUUUUGAACCUUCAGCUGCAGCUAUCCCCCUGCUGGAAGAACGCAUUCAAGGGUAAGACAGUGGAGCAAGGCUUCAUUUUGUGUGAUUCUGUGAAAACAACAGGACUGUCAUCUUGUAUCCCAGUGAGAUACUAACACAUGAUUUUCAAAGAUGCUUUUUAGAUGAGGUUCUUUUGUGCUGUUCUUUUGGUAUUUGUUCUCUUGUGGACUUCUGUGAUAAGGCCUGUACUUUUUUCAGGCUCCAAAUGCAAACGGCAAGGCUGGAAGCCACAAUCCAGCAACAAGCCAAGACUAUUGAAGUCCUUGAGGCAAUCCAGCAAUCUCUUACCUCAGGCUCUUCUGUGGGCACCAGUCUUUGGCACCGUGAUUUUCCACAUGCUAUCAAAAACUGUUUUGGAGUGAAGUGUGCAAAGUGAGCCAAUCCCUGGGGCUGGGUCACCCUGCAGGUGUUUCCACCCUUUUGGGCGUCUCUUUGUUGCCAUGAGAUUUGUGAAAUUUAGCAAUUUUUUGUCUAGUGAUUACUUACUGUUAUUUUUUGCCUGUUGCUGUUUCACUUGUCA